UACGAAGGGGGCUAGCGUUGCUCGGAAUCACUGGGCGUAAAGGGUGCGUAGGCGGGUCUUUAAGUCAGGGGUGAAAUCCUGGAGCUCAACUCCAGAACUGCCUUUGAUACUGAGGAUCUUGAGUUCGGGAGAGGUGAGUGGAACUGCGAGUGUAGAGGUGAAAUUCGUAGAUAUUCGCAAGAACACCAGUGGCGAAGGCGGCUCUCUGGACGGUGACUGACGCUGAGACGCGAAAGCGUGGGGGAGCAAACAGG
rnacentral:rRNA from 1 species